rnacentral:lncRNA from 1 species
AUGUGUGCCUCAUCUUUACUGUAGUCAGAUGGCAGCCUCAGAACACUUAAACUUGAAGUAAUGAGCAGUUGUGGGUCCUCAUGUAAAUACUGGCCAUUGACCCCCUUUUUUUGUGGAAGACCAGAAAGAGCUUUCCACUGCAGAGCUAUCUCCCUGCCCUAUGUUGCUCAUUUAUGAUCCACAUUUAUAUUACUGGUAUUUUCAUCUGUCCAUUUGUAAUUGUUUAAACAUACAUUCUCUUUUAUAAAAUUUGUUUCCGUUUAAACUGGGGCAUUUCAGGUUUCUGCCAGAUGACUACAGACUGUAUACUGUAGUGAAUGUAUAAUUCUUUGUAGGAACUUCAGUAAAGACCUCUGAAUUCUUUCUAUGUUUUUUGUUGGCUUGAUUCCAUUUUGGAGGGGAAUGAAGGUCUUAGUAUGUACCUUUGUUGUCCUGGAACUUUUUGCUUAGCCCACGCUGACAUCUAACUAAAUGACAUACACCUGCCUGUGCCUCUGGGAUUAAAUCCAUGAGCAAACAUAUUCAGCUUGCCUAUCAUUUUUGUACUUUGUGAUUGGUCAUACAAUGUCUCUGAUGUGUGCUUAAUAAUGUUGAUCUGUUUGCCUCUCUCCUUCCCCCUCUCUAUCAAUUGCAAUUUGUCUUGCAAGGCUAUAUCCUAUUCAAAGCAUUCAGAAGUGACACAGGUGAAGCUCAUAGUUCAGUUUCCUUCUAAAAUAACUUGCUGAUUAGAUUGUAACUUCUCUGUCAGGAAAUAGUGGAGGAAGCACCAGAAGUAUAUGUAUAUAUUGUCAAGGAGGCAUAUAUUUAUUUACAGUGAUGUCAGGAUUAUGCUUUGUGUUGUCCAAAUCUAUGGGAUAUUUUAGGAUGCAGUGACUUAUGAUGAUGUGCGUGUGAACUUCACUGAGGAAGAGUGGGAUUUGCUGGAUCCUUCCCAGAAAAGUCUCUAUGAAGAGGUGAUGCUGGAGACCUACCAGAACAUCACUGCUAUAGGCUACAAUUGGGAAGACCAUCAUAUUGAAGAACAUUGUCAAAGUUCUAGAAGACAUGAAAGGAAUGAAAGAAGUCGUAUUGGAGAGAAACCCUAUGAAUGUUAUCAAUGUGGUAAAGCCUUUGCACGUCACAAUCAUCUCCAAAUACAUAAAAGAAUACAUACUGGAGAGAAACCUUAUGAAUGUAAUCAAUGUGGUAAAGCCUUUGCAUGUCACAGUCGUCUCCAAAGACAUAAAAGAACACAUACUGGAGAGAAACCUUAUGAAUGUAAUCAAUGUGGCAAAGCUUUUGCACGUCACAGUCAUCUCCAAAGACACGAAAAAACACAUAA